GUGAGGAAUUUUCCGCAAUGGGCGAAAGCCUGACGGAGCAAUGCCGCGUGAAGGAUGAAGGCCUAUGGGUUGUAAACUUCUUUUCUCAGAAAAGAAUUAUGACGGUAUCUGAGGAAUAAGCAUCGGCUAACUCUGUGCCAGCAGCCGCGGUAAGACAGAGGAUGCAAGCGUUAUCCGGAAUGAUUGGGCGUAAAGCGUCUGUAGGUUGUUUAAAAAGUAUUCUGUCAAAGAUUAGGGCUUAACCCUAGAUAGGCAGAAUAAACUUUUAAGCUAGAGUUUGGUAGAGGCAGAUGGAAUUCCCGGUGGAGCGGUGAAAUGCGUAGAUAUCUGGAGGAACACCAAAGGCGAAGGCACUCUGCUGGGCCAAUACUAACACUGAGAGACGAAAGCGAGGGGAGCAAAUGGGAUUAGAAACCCGUGUAGUCC
rnacentral:rRNA from 1 species